rnacentral:tRNA from 1 species
GCACUAGCUCAAUCGGUAGAGCAAUCGUCUGUAAACGAAGGGUCGCUGGUUCAAAUCCGGCGUGCA